UACGUAGGUGGCAAGCGUUGUCCGGAUUUAUUGGGUUUAAAGGGUGCGUAGGCGGGCUGUUAAGUCAGGGGUGAAAGACGGUGGCUCAACCAUCGCAGUGCCCUUGAUACUGGCAGCCUUGAGUGCGGGCGAGGCCUGUGGAACGGAUGGUGUAGCGGUGAAAUGCUCAGAUACCAUCCAGAACACCGAUUGCGAAGGCAGCAGGCUAGGGCGCAACUGACGCUGAGGCACGAAAGUGCGGGGAUCAAACAGG
rnacentral:rRNA from 1 species